rnacentral:tRNA from 1 species
GCGUUCCUAGUUUAAUGGUAGAAUAUCUCGUUGCCAACGAGGUGGCCCGGGUCCGAUUCCCGGGGAGCGCA